rnacentral:misc_RNA from 1 species
GCAUCUUGUGAUUUGCACUUUUGAAAUGCCAAGUACUCGAAUUAUUAAUGAUUAUCUGACAUGGUUAGCUAGUUGGAUAUUAGUUCUCACAUAAUUGGUGAUUGUGCUUUUUCAUUGUUCUUCUGACCUAAUAACAACUUGUUUGGAAUGUAACUGCUUGGUGUUCACGUUUUCAUCGUCAUGGUUCUUGGAAGAUGAAGUAUUUUGUUUUCACUUCAUUCAUUGCACCGAGGGAAACUGGAAUAUGGGGAGGUGGAUUUUAUAUCACUGAAACAUUCUAGAGGAUAUAUUUAAAGUUCUAAAGGUAGAAAAUAUGCAAGAUCUUUUAGGCAUACUCAUAGCUGUGAAGAAGGCAUCCUUUGCAUAUAUGAGGCAGAGUGCCUUGAGAAAUUGUUUUCAUUAUGACUGAUAUGUUGGAAGGAUUCAAUAUCUGCAUGGAUAAGCCUUUCAAGUUUUAUGUUUAUAUAUGAUUUUUUUCCCAGUUCAUGUAGU